UCUUUCAGUUGCACACAAGGAUCUGUGGGCCUGAGGCCACCCCUGAAUGACUCUAGAAUAUUGAUAGGCUCUAUGCAGCAAUGAUCUAAGGCACAUUUUGAAUGUUGCCAAAAUAACUUACAUUUAUCACAUUAUUUUAUGGAAACAAAGAUUCUAUAUAUCUUCUUCUUUUUUGAAUUAUACUUGUAUUUUAAGUGUUGUACUUUAUAAGCUGUGGAUACCAAUCAUUCAAACAACGUAAUACAAGUAAUCCAGUUGACCAUAUGCCAUUUAAAACAAACGAAAAAUUCCAUUUUCUACUCUUGCUCUUUCUCCAUAUUUCCCAUUUGAUGCUAGUUGGAGUGUGUCAUUACCUGCCUCAGAGGGGCGUGAAUGUCCUUUAAAAGAGGUAGAAAAUGAUACUUGGGGGCUAAUGAGGCCUAAUAGUAGGGGAUCAGGGUUUAGUUCUUGACCUCUAAGUAGUCAUCUUAAGAAGCCUUACAUUGGAAUGUUUCUCAUUUGAAAAUUUCUGUUUUGAGUGUUUUUAAAACCACUGCAUGGAGGUUUAACUGACAUACAAAAAUAAACAUAUAUACUUAAUGUAUGUAACAUAACAAGUUGGAUAUAAGUACACAUCCAUGAAACCAUCACCACAAUCCAUGUCCUAAAGUUUACUUCCUCUUAAAAGUUUCCUUUGGAUUUACAGUGUGAUUUUUACUCUGUAAUCACCCUUGGAGCCUGGUGCCCAUUUUCUAUUGUUUACUGCAUGAGCAUGGAAAAAUUCCUUAACCCUUCUGAAUGUCUAUUCUUUCAACUGAAAAAGCAGUAAUUCCAGUUAUCUCAAACCUUUCAAAUCAAAUGAAUUAACAUGAGGCCCAAAGUAAGUGUCAGUUUCAAGAAUACAAUGCAGUCACCAUGCAAUUCUGAUCAGCUAUCCCUUUAGUUAAUCUCUGCCAGUAUUUUCCACUUUGUUGUAAAUGAAUUAAUGUAGAUAUAUAAGUGUUUAUCUUAAACAUGUCAAGUUAAUUCCCAAGCUAUGCUUAAAGGACAUACCCAUAAAACAAAAAAAAGGAAUAUAAA